CGAAAGCCUGACGGAGCAACGCCGCGUGAGGGAUGAAGGCCUCUGGGCUGUAAACCUCUUUUCUCAAGGAAGAAGAUCUGACGGUACUUGAGGAAUAAGCCACGGCUAAUUCCGUGCCAGCAGCCGCGGUAAUACGGGAGUGGCAAGCGUUAUCCGGAAUCAUUGGGCGUAAAGCGUCCGCAGGCGGCCUUGAAGGUCUGUCGUUAAAGCGUGGAGCUUAACUCCAUUUCAGCGAUGGAAACUACAAGGCUUGAGUGCGGUAGGGGCAGAGGGAAUUCCCGGUGUAGCGGUGAAAUGCGUAGAUAUCGGGAAGAACACCAGUGGCGAAGGCGCUCUGCUGGGCCAUAACUGACGCUCAUGGACGAAAGCCAGGGGAGCG
rnacentral:rRNA from 1 species